UGACAGUUACGAGCCUCGCCCCUCCGAUACAACAUGUGCAGUUGUACACUGCCUCUUCUAUAGUAAAUGUUGUUCUUUAUAAGAUUUUACUAGGCACUGAACUGGAUAUGAUAAGUAUAGAGGACACUUCCAAAACACUCGUAAACAUGUGUCACUCAUAUGACAUCUUUAGGUCCCAAACGUUGAAACUUUUGAGAUUGUGUACAGUAGUCGACGGAGAUAAGAGGAGAAAUCUAAAGGAAACGAAUAAAGUUUACUAUUCUGUAAAAAUAUCUUUAAUACAAGAAAUAUUAAUAAUGAUUUAAAUCAUGAUUUAUAUAAUACUCGUUGCUUAAAUGGAGGUUCCACACCUGUUAUGUUUGUAAAAAAUCAUUUACCUAAUAAACAAUUUUAUGUAUU